rnacentral:tRNA from 1 species
UCCCUUGGCAGUCCAGUGGUUAGGACUCUUGGCACUUUCACUGCCAAGAGCCUGGGUUCAAUCCUUGGCGGGGGAA